rnacentral:lncRNA from 1 species
AUCGAUUUAACGCAUUUUAACUUGUCGAGCGUUUCCCUUCAGGGACGCAUUUUGCAAAUUUAUGAAGGUAAUUCUUCGUUUAAAGUCGUAUACCAGCGGAUACAGUAUGUGUGGUCUGCCAUACCUGAUCUUUCUGGAAGGUUCUGGUGGCCUUCUGGAAGGACGAUGGCAGAGUCAGCCAGCCCCGCAGGCAUCGGGUGGAGGUGGAAUCGCAGCGAUAUCCAUGUUGACAACAGUGAAUCCCAUCCCUGCAACACUGACCCUGAAGCAGAGAAGAGAGUGAACAAAGUUUGAGCAUCGCAGUAAAUCACAGAGGCAGAGGUGUCUACAGUCUCCACCGGGAUAGACAGAUCAAGCAGAGGCUCAUCUGCAGCCACCAGAGCCGCCAUGAGUAACAUCAACACUGGGAACAUCUGAAAAUGUGAAAUAGGAGAGUAUUAGGUAUGUUAUUAUUUUAUCUUUUUUUAUUUUAUCAGCACAUUUUUGUUUUUUAUUUUAUUAUAUUUUGUUUUAGUUUAAUUUAGGACACUGCAUAUUAUAAAUGAGUACACCCC